UACGUAGGGUGCAAGCGUUGUCCGGCAUUAUUGGGCGUAAAGAGCUUGUAGGCGGUUUGUCGCGUCUGCUGUGAAAUUUCGGGGCUCAACCCCGAACUUGCAGUGGGUACGGGCAGACUAGAGUGUGGUAGGGGAGACUGGAAUUCCUGGUGUAGCGGUGAAAUGCGCAGAUAUCAGGAGGAACACCGAUGGCGAAGGCAGGUCUCUGGGCCACUACUGACGCUGAGAAGCGAAAGCAUGGGGAGCGAACAGG
rnacentral:rRNA from 1 species